AAAAACCUAUUGGCCCUCUUACUUUAGGUCAAAAGUAGCAGAAAUCAGAGAUGAUGACAAGGCUCUGUGAAUUCUGGGUGGAAGAAAGAUCUUCAUUCACGUGGUGUGCCCCAUGGGAUGUUCUGCCUUCCAGCUGACAGCAUCAUCUGUUUCAAAAACCCCCACAACAAACCAAAAAAGCCUUUGUGUUUUCAAUCAAGACUGAAGCUGAGAAAUUUUCCUGACGGGGUGAAAGUUGUAACAUGCAUGGCCUGUCAGAUUUGCAUUCUUUGACAUGAUGUCCGUGUCCAGACCAUGGAUUUUGAAGUGGCCUUCGAACUUUACCUCAGGACGGUGGAGAAAAAAAAAUCAGGUGGCCUGAAUGGAAUAUAUGCAAAAACCAGGUCAAGGGCUGAUGGUCAGAGAUGGGAAUUCUGCUACUGAGACAAGGUGGAAGCCAGGAGGCAGAAACCGGGAAGGAACCAGAGCCAAAAAUCACAGCUAGCAAAGCUCAGGGCCAAUGCCCAAGACAGGAACCAGAGGAGCAAUUAACCCGGGAGCAAGAAUGUCCUGAGUCAGCAUUCAGAAACUGCCCUCAGGACAGUUCUUCCUCACCCUGGAUGGGGCAGCUCCUUUGGAAAGCACUCACCACCUCUGGGCUUUGGAAGUGCAAUUAAUCUUGGAGUCAUUAGUCUUAUGCUAUGAGGAGACAGAAGAGAGACAAACUCUUCGCACCCUAGAUGACUGGAGCCAUAAAGCUCACUGAGUUAGUAUCACUGAGGCAGGGCCUUGACUGGGGUGGGCGAGUGGGGUGCCUGGGGUGCCCACAUAGGGAGGCAUUCACUCAGGGUCAGACAGAGGCAGGUCGCUGAGGCUCUGGGAUGGGAAGGCUGAGCCCCACUGGAACCGACUGAUAUCUGAUGGGCUCUGUUUCCCUUUGACAAGAGGCCACAAGUCCACUCUGAAUCAGUCUGUGGAGUUCAUGGUGUUUCUUGAAUUAAAAUACAUGAUUAACAUUUGCUGUUCCCUGGCAUUUAAUGAUGAAUAAAAAUAAACUCUUAAACUAAUGCAACAGAAAUUUUUUAUUUGCACCAUGGUAAUGGCAUUUUCCCCCCUUAUUCUUUUGCUGAC